UGCCAAUGAUGGUUAAGAAUUUCUUCACCUGA
rnacentral:piRNA from 2 species